rnacentral:rRNA from 1 species
AGCGAACUUGGCAGGAGAGUGCCUUGGUGCCUUCGGGAACGCUGAGACAGGUGCUGCAGUGGCUGUCGUCAGCUCGUGUUGUAGAAAUGUUGGGUUAAGUCCCGCAACGAGCGCAACCCUUAUCCUUUGUUGCCAGCGAUUCGGUCGGGAACUCAAAGGAGACUGCCGGUGAUAAACCGGAGGAAGGUGGGGAUGACGUCAAGUCAUCAUGGCCCUUACGAGUAGGGCUACACACGUGCUACAAUGGCGCAUACAAAGAGAAGCGACCUCGCGAGAGCAAGCGGACCUCAUAAAGUGCGUCGUAGUCCGGAUCGGAGUCUGCAACUCGACUCCGUGAAGUCGGAAUCGCUAGUAAUCGUGGAUCAGAAUGCCACGGUGAAUACGUUCCCGGGCCUUGUACACACCGCCCGUCACACCAUGGGAGUGGGUUGCAAAAGAAGUAGGUAGCUUAACCCUCGGGAGGGCGCUUACCACUUUGUGAUUCAUGACUGGGGUGAAGUCGUAACAAGGUAGGCGUAGCGAG